GGCGUUUUACAGGCGCAGAAGGAAGUGCUAGGACUGUUACCAGUAAUUCGUGAACAUUUUGAGGUGUAUUUGUCGUCUUCCUAACUGUGGACACUACAGUUCGAAAGAUUCAACCGAUCUUUUAAAUUUGUUUGAAUUUUGUGGACAUCUAAAGUUGCUUAUCAAGCCCUUGUGAAGACCAUCACAGUCGUUGUAAUCGAUCGAAGAAUUCAUCAUGGCGGAAAAACCUCCACCGUAUCAAGCUUCAGGCUAUCCCCAGCAAGCUGGUCAGCCCGCUUACCCACAGCAACCGGGCUAUCCACAGCAACCGGGCUAUCCACAGCAACCGGGCUAUCCACAGCAACCGGGCUAUCCACAGCAACCGGGCUAUCCACCGCAACAAGGCUAUGCACCACCACAGCAGGGCUAUGCACCGCCACACGGCUAUGGGCCGCCACCUCAACAACAUAGCCAAAGCACGGCCACCACGACGAUCAUCACGCAGCCCCAAACUGUUGUAGUGGGAAGUGCUAUGUAUGGUGAAGCCCCCGUGUCCAUGGUCUGUCCUUACUGCACUGCAACCAUAGUCACGUCAGUGACGUAUACCCCUGGCACACUGACUUGGCUCGCUUGCGGAGGGCUCAUCUUGGUCGGCUGUGGGGCUGGCUGUUGCCUCAUUCCGUUUUGCAUCGAUGGCAUGCAAGAUGCUGUUCACAGUUGCCCGAAUUGCCGAAGGCAGCUCGGUGUGUUCCGUCGAAUGUAGACAACAGACGGAGGAAAAGGAAAGAACAAGAGGUGAAGGAAAAACGGCGGAACGACCAUUAAAUUUCAUUCAUUUUGUAGCCUAACAGAACUUUAAAAUAUGUAAGACUUAAUAUGUAAGCUUAACAUGUCUCUUCCCUUUUCCUUGAACAUGCAAUCUUAUUCACUUAGAUACAGUUGAACACACUUGUGUGGAUCGCAAAGUAAUGCUAAAUACUCAUUUGUUUUGAUCGUCUUUUUAGUCUUAUAACUGACAGUGGAAAAAGUGGACAUUUCCAAGGUUUCGUGAUCGAUUUUCACUGGCUUUCAUUUCAUGCCUGUUUAAUUUGAGCUUAGCAUGAAUUAAGGAAACUUACAAAGCAAAAUAGUUUUGCAACAAGGAAAAUGUGGUGAAGCAUGCAUGAUUUGGUACAAUAUAGCCUUGUUCUGUUAUUUAGUACAUAAUCAAGGUGUUUCAAUGUUUUGUUAAAAUGAUUUUAUUGAAUGUUAUAUGUUAAAAUAAAUAUAUAUCUUAGAAUAUAGUUGAUUACACUGUAAGUAGAUUGACAGUUAUUAUAAUGUUAUUGAUCUGAAGGCAAAGCAGAGAGAUAACUAGUGUAAACUUUGGACUGCAAUUGUAAGUAAAUGCUGUAGCUUUCAUGACCCAGUUGCUAGUUACAUGUAGUAAGCGGACACUGGUAAUACAUUGGAAUAUUGCUGAGGUACUGCUGCUUAACACCUGUUAAUUUUAAGACGAAUCAUAAAUGAACACAUUCGUCUCUAAUAUAUUAUUGUUUGGUGCAAAAGUAAAAACAAGAGUAAGUAAAUGUCCCUUUUUUUCUGCUAGGAAGU